rnacentral:rRNA from 1 species
GGAAUAUUGGGGCGUAAAGGGCUCGCAGGCGGUUUCUUAAGUCUGAUGUGAAAGCCCCCGGCUCAACCGGGGAGGGUCAUUGGAAACUGGGGAACUUGAGUGCAGAAGAGGAGAGUGGAAUUCCACGUGUAGCGGUGAAAUGCGUAGAGAUGUGGAGGAACACCAGUGGCGAAGGCGACUCUCUGGUCUGUAACUGACGCUGAGGAGCGAAAGCGUGGGGAGCGAACAGGAUUAGAUACCCUGGUAGUCCACGCCGUAAACGAUGAGUGCUAAGUGUUAGGGGGUUUCCGCCCCUUAGUGCUGCAGCUAACGCAUUAAGCACUCCGCCUGGGGAGUACGGUCGCAAGACUGAAACUCAAAGGAAUUGACGGGGGCCCGCACAAGCGGUGGAGCAUGUGGUUUAAUUCGAAGCAACGCGAAGAACCUUACCAGGUCUUGACAUCCUCUGACAAUCCUAGAGAUAGGACGUCCCCUUCGGGGGCACAGUGACAGGUGGGGCAUGUGUGUCGUCACCUCGCGUCGUGAGAUGUUGGGUUAAGUCUCGCAACGCGCGCAACCCUCGAUCUCAGUUGCCAGCAUUCAGUUGGGCACUCUAAGGUGACUGCCGGUGACAAACCGGAGGA